AGGUGGGCAAACUAAGACAUUUGCUCCAGAAGAAAUCUCUGCUAUGAUUCUCACUAAAAUGAAAGAGACUGCAGAGGCUUAUUUGUGAAAGAAGGUUACCCAUGCAGUUGUUACUGUACCAGCCUGUUUUAAUGAUGCCCAGUAGCAAGCAACCAAAAAUGCUGGAACUAUUGCUGGCCUGAAUGUUAUGAGGAUCAUCAAUGAGCCUACAGCAGCUGCUAUUGCUUAUGGCCUGGAUAAGAGGGAGGGAGAGAAGAACAUACUGGUGUUUGAUCUGGGUGGUGGAACCUUCUAUGCAUCUCAUCUCACCAUUGUCGAUGGUGUCUUUGAAGUCAUGGCCACUAAUGGAGAUACUCAUGGGGGAGAG
rnacentral:lncRNA from 1 species